rnacentral:rRNA from 1 species
UACCAGCACCCCGAGUGGUCGGGACGUUUAUUGGGCCUAAAGCAUCCGUAGCCGGUUCUACAAGUCUUCCGUUAAAUCCACCUGCUUAACAGAUGGGCUGCGGAAGAUACUAUGGAGCUAGGAGGCGGGAGAGGCAAGCGGUACUCGAUGGGUAGGGAUAAAAUCCGUUGAUCCAUUGAAGACCACCAGUGGCGAAGGCGGCUUGCCAGAACGCGCUCGACGGUGAGGGAUGAAAGCUGGGGGGAGCAAACCGGG